rnacentral:rRNA from 1 species
GUCUACGGCCAUACCACCCUGAACGCGCCCGAUCUCGUCUGAUCUCGGAAGCUAAGCAGGGUCGGGCCUGGUUAGUACUUGGAUGGAGAUCAAAAAUGACAUUUAGAAAACUAAACAUC